rnacentral:rRNA from 1 species
CCUACGGGAGGCAGCAGUGAGGAAUAUUGGUCAAUGGGCGCGAGCCUGAACCAGCCAAGUCGCGUGAGGGAAGACGGUCCUAUGGAUUGUAAACCUCUUUUGUCGGGGAGCAAAAGACGCCACGCGUGGCGUUCCGAGAGUACCCGAAGAAAAAGCAUCAGCUAACUCCGUGCCAGCAGCCGCGGUAAUACGGAGGAUGCGAGCGUUAUCCGGCUUUAUUGGGUUUAAAGGGUGCGCAGGCGGAAGAUCAAGUCAGCGGUAAAAUUGAGAGGCUCAACCUCUUCGAGCAGUUGAAACUGGUUUUCUGGAGUGAGCGAGAGGUAUGCGGAAUGCGUGGUGUAGCGGUGAAAUGCAUAGAUAGCACGCAGAACUCCGAUUGCGAAGGCAGCAUACCGGCGCUCAACUGACGCUCAUGCACGAAAGUGUGGGUAUCGAACAGGAUUAGAUACCCCAGUAGUC